rnacentral:rRNA from 1 species
CCUACGGGAGGCAGCAGUGGGGAAUAUUGCACAAUGGGGGAAACCCUGAUGCAGCGACGCCACGUGAGUGAAGAAGUAUUUCGGUACGUAAAGCUCUAUCAGCAGGGAAGAAAAUGACGGUACCUGACUAAGAAGCCCCGGCUAACUACGUGCCAGCAGCCGCGGUAAUACGUAGGGGGCAAGCGUUAUCCGGAUUUACUGGGUGUAAAGGGAGCGUAGACGGCAGCGCAAGUCUGGAGUGAAAUCCCAUGGCUUAACCAUGGAACUGCUUUGGAAACUGUGCAGCUAGAGUGCAGGAGAGGUAAGCGGAAUUCCUAGUGUAGCGGUGAAAUGCGUAGAUAUUAGGAGGAACACCAGUGGCGAAGGCGGCUUACUGGACUGUAACUGACGUUGAGGCUCGAAAGCGUGGGGAGCAAACAGGAUUAGAUACCCCAGUAGUC